rnacentral:rRNA from 1 species
GAUGAACGCUAGCGGCAGGCCUAAUACAUGCAAGUCGAACGAUACUUUCCAGCUUGCUGGAGAGGAAAGUGGCGCACGGGUGCGUAACGCGUAUGCAACCUACCUUAAUCAGGGGGAUAGCCCGAAGAAAUUCGGAUUAACACCGCAUAAAAUCACAAUAUAGCAUUAUAAAAUGAUCAAAUAUUUAUAGGAUUAAGAUUGGCAUGCGUGACAUUAGUUAGUUGGCGGGGUAACGGCCCACCAAGACCACGAUGUCUAGGGGAUCUGAGAGGAUGACCCCCCACACUGGUACUGAGACACGGACCAGACUCCUACGGGAGGCAGCAGUAAGGAAUAUUGGUCAAUGGAGGCAACUCUGAACCAGCCAUGCCGCGUGCAGGAAGACAGCCCUCUGGGUCGUAAACUGCUUUUAUUCGGGAAUAAACCUAUCUACGUGUAGAUAGCUGAAUGUACCGAAGGAAUAAGGAUCGGCUAACUCCGUGCCAGCCGCCGCGGUAA